GUGAAGAAUUCGAGAGUUGUCAGAUAUUAAGUUGGAAAUAAAAGUGGAAACGUUAUUGUCAGCGUCAGUUGGGUUGUUAAGUUUGUCAAAAACAAAGUGUAGGUUUACAAUGUAUUGCACAUGUUCGCAGUUGUGAAAAUGCUGUCCAAUAGCACUUUUGGUCGGAUUGGUAUGUUCAGCGAGUCGCGUCUGUAAACGUCUUUCUGUUUUCCCAAUAUACGUUGCGGAACAGCCAGGACAUGUCACCUCAUAAACUACAUUAGAUUUUGAAAGAUUCGGAAUUUUGUCUUUGUUGGAAAGGAAAUAAGAAAACUUUUUGUUGUCAUAAACAACUAUAAAAUUUACAGGAACAGUUAGGCAUCUUUGUAUUUUCUUUAUGCAACUUUUAACUAAAGUUUCACCUUGUUUACCAAGGUAUGGAACGCGAACCCAAAGCUUAGGCCUAGUGUCGUUUUCAUCAAAAAAGUUAGUGCGAGGUCGAUCCGCAGAAAAUUUGUUUUUUAGUUUGGAUAUCAAUAAAUUCCUGAUCGCACGAGGAAAGCCAUUCCAAGACAUAAACAUUUUAAGCUUCCGAACUUGGUUAUCAAAUAGUUGACUGGUACUGCAUAAUUUUGAUGCUCGGUGAAACAAAGAUUUAACCCACGCAGUUUUACGUGAAAAUGGUUCAAAACUAGAAAAAUGUGUGUAUUGUCCAGUGUGCGUACUUUUGUAGUAAACAUCAGUGUUAUCCGAC